CCUACGGGGGGCAGCAGUGAGGAAUAUUGGUCAAUGGACGAGAGUCUGAACCAGCCAAGUAGCGUGAAGGAUGACUGCCCUAUGGGUUGUAAACUUCUUUUAUAUGGGAAUAAAAUGUUCCACGUGUGGGAUUUUGUAUGUACCAUAUGAAUAAGGAUCGGCUAACUCCGUGCCAGCAGCCGCGGUAAUACGGAGGAACCGAGCGUUAUCCGUAUUUCAUAGGUUUAAAGGGAACGUAGGUGGAUUGUUAAGUCAGGUGUUAAAGUUUGCGGCUCAACCGUAAAAUUGCAGUUGAAACUGGCAGUCUUGAGUACAGUAGAGGUGGGCGGAAGUCGUGGUGUAGCGGUGAAAUGCUUAGAUAUCACGAAGAACUCCGAUUGCGAAGGCAGCUCACUGGACUGCAACUGACACUGAGGCUCGAAAGUGUGGGUAUCAAACAGGAUUAGAUACCCUAGUAGUC
rnacentral:rRNA from 1 species